rnacentral:rRNA from 1 species
AUUGAACGCUGGCGGCAUGCUUUACACAUGCAAGUCGAACGGUAACAGGUUAAGCUGACGAGUGGCGAACGGGUGAGUAUGUAUCGGAACGUGCCCAGUCGUGGGGGAUAACGUAGCGAAAGCUACGCUAAUACCGCAUACGAUCUCUGGAUGAAAGCGGGGGACCGCAAGGCCUCGCGCGAUUGGAGCGGCCGAUAUCAGAUUAGGUAGUUGGUGGGGUAAAGGCCCACCAAGCCAACGAUCUGUAGCUGGUCUGAGAGGACGACCAGCCACACUGGGACUGAGACACGGCCCAGACUCCUACGGGAGGCAGCAGUGGGGAAUUUUGGACAAUGGGGGCAACCCUGAUCCAGCAAUGCCGCGUGCAGGAAGAAGGCCUUCGGGUUGUAAACUGCUUUUGUACGGAACGAAAAGGCUCUGGUUAAUACCUGGGGCUCAUGACGGUACCGUAAGAAUAAGCACCGGCUAACUACGUGCCAGCCGCCGCGGUAA